GUGGGUGUGGUAGAGAUAGAGGGGUAGGAGGGGUAGGUGGGUGUGGUAGAGGUAGAGGGGUAGGUGGGUGUGGUAGAGGUAGAGGGUUAGGAGGGGCAGGUAGGUGUGGUAGAGGUAGAGGGGUAGGAGGGGGGUAGGUGGGUGUGGUUGGGGUAGAGGGGUAGGUAGGUGUGGUAGAGGUAGAGGUAGAGGUGUAGGAGGGGUAGGUAGGUCUGGUAGGUGUAGGAGGGGUAGGUGGUGUGGUUGGGGUAGAGGUAGAGGUAGAGGUGUAGGAGGGGUAGAGGUAGAGGUAGAGGUGUAGGAGGAGUAGGUGGGUGUGGUUGGGGUAGGAGGGGUAGGUGGGUGUGGUUGGGGUAGGAGUGGUAGGUAGGUGUGGUUGGGGUAGAAGGGGUAGGUGGGUGUGGUUGGGGUAGAGCUAGAGGUAGAGGUAGAGGGGUAGGUGGGUGUGGUUGGGGUAGAAGGGGUAGGUGGGUGUGGUUGGGGUAGAGGGGUAGGUAGGUGUGGUUGGGGUAGAAGGGGUAGGUGGGUGUGGUUGGGGUAGAAGGG
ensembl:lncRNA